GAUCUAUGCAUCAUGCCGUACGGAGAACUAAGUUGACUUGUUUAUUGACAGAUAUGAUAUCAAGCCGAACAAUGCCAUUCUUGCUGAGGACAAGCACCUGCCCAUGUAUGAAGAAAUGGCUUCCAAGUCCAAUGUAGAGUAUAUUGCUGGAGGUGCUACUCAAAAUUCAAUUAAGGUUGCCCAGUGGAUGCUCCAAGUUCCUGAUGCGACUAGUUACAUUGGAUCCAUUGGGAAGGACAAAUUUGGAGAAGAGAUGAAGAAAAAUAGUAAACUUGCUGGUGUUAAUGU